AAGGUUGAGGUGUGUUUAUUUCUUUCACUCCCCAACUACAACACCAGCUUGUCUGCUGAACACGAGCUUCCCUUUCUUUCCUUUUAAAUACUAAAUGCUGUGAACCAUAAAAACAAAACAAAACAAAAAAACAGAUCAUGGGCUCUGAACCCCCGUCCUAGCUUCUGCUCCUAGGGACCUAAUACAGUAGUGCCUUGAGCAAGUACCCUUUAUGCACCAGUGUGUACCUCAGCUGUAAAAUGAGGAUAAUAGUACACAUCUCUAGAGAGUGUUGUUAAAAUCAAAGGAGCUAAUAUUUGUAAGGUCCUUAGAAAAGUGCCUGACACACAGAAACAGCUCAGUAAGGUUAAACCACUUGCUACUUAGUCCACUCUGACUCCUGGUGAGUCCGUGUGUGUGCUAGAGAGCGGACUUUAUGUUAUCCUGGUUUUAUAGUUGGGAUUUCAGGAAUAAUAUGAAUUAUUAAAGGGAAAAGCAAAUAAAUCUGCUUAUUGAAUCGGAGAAACAUUUUAUUUUAAAAUGGAAAGCAUUAGUUUCUACAAAUUAAAAGUGCAGUAGAUUGACUCAGAAAUUGAAAAUACUAAAGGUGUCAGGUUCUGUCCAUAAGGAAAAUUUGAAAAUAAUCAUAUCUCAGCUAAUAUGAUUAGGAGUGCUUCCACGUUGGGCAAACAUUCCUAUCUUUCUGAUGUGUAAAAAAAAUUCUGAACGUGGCUGAGGUUAGUCAUCCCAAUAAAUAGAUAUUUACUACAGUGACUCAUAAUGAAAAUUGUAGCAUUCCAAGAAGGAAAACACAAGUGGUGAGGCAAGUUAGUUAAGGUAGUUGCAGCUGCUUAGAAAUUUGAUUGCAAACUCAGUCUAUUAACGGCAUCCACAAUGAUAAUUCUGUUAGGAACAUUCUCAAAGAUAACUUCUUGACUUGCCUCACUGAUAAAUUGUAACUCUUAUAAGAGGAAGUGGUUAAGACCUGACCUUCAUUGCAACCAACACAGAAAAACUUGUUGAUGAAGAAAAAAUUAACAGGGACCUUGAGAGAAAGGAGCAAUGCUGUCUUCGACUUUCUUUUAUGACUUUGAGAUUACAUUCUCUAGGACACAGACUCUGAGACAGAGAUUGUGUGCCGGGUCUGACCCCAUUUUUGAAGUUUGGCUGCUGACAGUUUUCAAGCCCCACCACUUCCUUCAUCCCCUUCUGCUCCACAUCUGGGAAAGCCGGUAAGAGUUCUUGAUGCUCCCUUCUUUGGUGCUGUGGGACGUUCAGACCACACGACCCCAUGGCCAACAUGAACUUUCGCCUCAGUUCCACCUGCUGAUCACAAGAAAAACCAAGUCAGCCUCCUUUCUCUGCUCUCUCAAGCCAUCCUUGGACCUACCUGGGAGCUUCCCUGUUCUUCCUAGAAAGCCUCAUUAUAUUUUCAAGCCAAAUAACGGAGAGUAAAAGGAAGAGAUCUGAGCAGGAAUCCCAGCAUCUGCACCAGCUCCACUGGCACCUGCCCUGGCUGUUAUAGCUCCACCCUCCUGGAGUUCAGAACAGCUGAACAGAAGGUUUGAAUCUUGAAAGCUCACUAACACUCUUAAGAAGGCUUAGUCCCCCUAGCAUGUUUAAGUAUGCUAAUAGUUAUCCAUAAAAUGAAGAUUACUUUUAACAUCAGGAUUGUGUUUUUAAUCUAUGAUUUCAGCAUCAUGAAAAUUAAAUAGACAGGCUUUGUCAUGAGUUGAGUUGUGUC